rnacentral:tRNA from 7 species
GCGGCUAUGGCGGAAUUGGCAGACGCGCUGGUUUUAGGGUCCAGUGUCCACGACGUGCAGGUUCAAGUCCUGUUAGCCGCACCA